GGGAUAAAAGGGAAAAGGCUUUCAGGCUUUAGCGAGGGUUUCUCCUGCUGCUGCUGCUACAGCUUCCAAUCCCCACCUCUCCGGCGAGCGCCAGCCUUUUCCGGCGAGGGUUUGCUCCGAUCGGAGCUCUCGGGCGGCAGAUCGGCCGGGUCCUCCGCCCGCGCUCCCGUGCCUGCGCUGAAGAGACUACCGAAUAUCUUCGUGAAGAGGACUUGAACACAGGUUUGGUGCAAUGGCGAAUAUGAACAUAACCGGCAUCUUGGAGAAGAUGACAGGGAAAGAUAAAGACUACAGAUAUAUGGCCACCUCAGAUCUGCUUAGUGAGUUGAACAAAGAGAGUUUCAAAGCAGACCAAGACCUUGAAUCAAAGUUGACUAAUAUUGUUCUUCAACAACUGGAAGAUGCUUCAGGAGAUGUUUCUGGUUUAGCUGUGAAAUGCUUGGCUCCACUUGUUAAGAAGGUAAGCGAGGAUAGAGUAGUGGAGAUGACUGACAAGCUUUGUGAUAAAUUACUCAAUGGAAAGGAGCAGCAUCGUGAUAUUGCCAGUAUAGCUCUGAAGACAAUCAUUGUGGAAGUUACUACGGCAUCACUUUCUGAAAAGAUUUUAGUUUCUCUUUCCCCGCAGCUAAUCAGUGGUGUCACCAGUGGAAAGAGUGCUGAAAUUAAAUGUGAAUGUCUUGACAUAUUAGGUGACGUGCUUCAUAGAUUCGGCAAUGUGAUCACAAAAGAUCAUGCGUUUAUGCUCACUGCACUUUUAACCCAGCUGAGCUCCACUCAAGCAAGUGUCAGAAAAAAGUCAGUUACGUGCAUAGCAUCGCUUGCUCCAUGUUUGUCGGAUGAUCUAUUAGCCAAGGCAACGUCGGAGGUUGUCCAAUUGCUGAAAAAUAAAAGGGCAAAAUCUGAAAUAACCCGAACAAAUAUCCAGAUGAUUGGUGCUCUCAGUCGGUCAGUUGGAUACCGGUUUGGACCACACCUUGCUGAAGCUGUUCCUUUGCUCAUUAGUUAUUGUACAAGUGCAUCAGAAAAUGAUGAAGAGCUCCGUGAAUACAGCUUGCAGGCCCUUGAGAGCUUUAUGCUCAGAUGUCCAAGAGAUAUUUCCCCAUAUUGUGAUGGUAUUUUGAAUCUUGCUUUGGAAUAUGUAAGCUAUGAUCCUAAUUACACCGAUAGCAUGGAGGAGGAUACUGAUGAUGAAGUACAGGAUGAGGAAGAUGAUGAUGAGAGUGCGAAUGAAUACACAGAUGACGAGGAUGCAAGCUGGAAGGUUCGCCGGGCAUCAGCGAAGUGCCUGUCUGCAAUUAUAGUAUCUCGUCCUCAAAUGUUGUCUAAGAUGUAUCAGGAGGCUUGUCCAAAGUUAAUUGACCGCUUUAGGGAAAGAGAGGAGAAUGUAAAGAUGGACAUCUUCAACACAUUUAUUGAGUUGUUACGCCAAACUGGCAAUGUGACAAAAGGACAAGGCGACAUUGAUGAGUCUAGCCCUAGAUGGUUGCUGAAGCAAGAAGUACCCAAAGUUGUCAAGUCUAUCAAUAGGCAGUUGCGUGAAAAAUCAAUCAAGACAAAGGUUGGAGCAUUCUCAGUAUUGAAGGAGCUUGUUGUUGUAUUACCAGAUUGCCUUGCUGAUCAUUUUGGGUCACUUGUUCCUGGGAUUGAGAAGGCUUUGAAUGACAAAUCUUCUACCUCCAACCUGAAGAUUGAAGCCCUUGCGUUUACUAGGAUUGUUAUGGCCUCACAUUCGCCCUCUGUGUUUCAUCCAUACAUCCAGGCACUUUCUGGUCCAAUAUUAUCUGCUAUGGGAGAUAGAUAUUACAAAGUCACAGCUGAGGCUUUACGGGUGUGUGGGGAGCUCGUCCGAGUCCUCCGUCCAAACUUUGAGGCACGUUCCAUAGAUUUCAGGCCAUAUAUUAGUCCAAUCUAUAAAGCUAUAUUGGGCCGCUUGGCGAAUCAAGAUCAAGAUCAGGAAGUUAAAGAGUGUGCCAUAUCUUGCAUGAGCCUUGUGAUCGCUACUUUUGGUGAUGGUCUUCAGAGUGAAUUACCGUCAUGCCUUCCCAUACUUGUUGAUAGGAUGGGCAAUGAAAUAACACGACUUACAGCUGUCAAGGCAUUUGCGGUGAUUGCAAAUUCACCUCUUCGGAUUGAUCUGUCAUGUGUCCUGGACCAUGUUGUUUCUGAGCUCACAGCUUUCCUUCGAAAGGCCAACAGAGCCCUCAGGCAGGCAACAUUGGGGACCCUAAAUUCUUUGGUUGUCACAUAUGGUGGUCAAAUUGGCUCGUCCUCUUAUGAAACGAUAAUAGCUGAACUUUCUACUCUCAUAAGUGACAUUGAUUUGCAUAUGGCUGCUCUUGCAUUGGAACUGUGUUGCACAAUAAUGGUUGACAGAAGAUCCAUUAAAAAUGUUGGUUUAGCUGUGAGACAUAAGGUUUUGCCCCAGGCCCUUGUUUUGAUCAGGAGUGCUCUGUUGCAAGGACAAGCACUACAGGCACUACAGAAGUUUUUUGCUUCACUGGUCCAGUCUGCAAAUACAAGCUUUGAAACUUUGUUGGACUCCCUUAUUUCAACUGCCAAGCCAUCGCAGUCAGGCAGUCUUUCCAAGCAGGCACUAUCCUCUAUUGCACAGUGUGUUGCUGUGCUAUGCUUAGCAGCUGGUGAUCAGAAAUGUGCAUCAACUGUUGAAAUGCUUAAAGGCAUUCUAAAUGAUGACAGUUCAACUAAUUCUGCUAAACAACACAUGGCCUUGUUAUGUUUGGGAGAAAUUGGAAGAAGGAAGGACCUCAGCAAUCAUGUUCAAAUUGAGAACAUUGUCAUUGAGUCAUUCCAGUCACCUUUUGAGGAGAUAAAGUCUGCAGCAUCGUAUGCUCUUGGAAACAUUGCUGUUGGCAAUCUAUCCAAGUAUUUGCCAUUUAUCUUGGAUCAGAUUGACAAUCAACAGAAGAAGCAGUAUCUUUUGCUUCAUUCACUGAAAGAGGUAAUUGCACGGCAGUCUGUUGAUCAUACUGGCCAGAGUGAGCUGCAGGACUCAAACAUUGUGAAGAUAUUGGCGUUGCUCUUUAAUCACUGCGAAAGUGAGGAGGAAGGAGUUCGGAAUGUGGUUGCUGAGUGUUUAGGGAAAAUUGCACUGAUUGAACCUAACAAAUUAAUCCCUGCUCUGAAGGAACGUACAUGUAGCCCAGCAGCAAACACAAGGGCUACAGUUGCCAUUGCUAUAAAAUAUUCAAUCGUUGAACGGCCUGGAAAGAUAGAUGCAAUCAUGUACUCUGAGAUUUCUACUUUCCUUAUGCUAAUUAAAGACAGUGACAGGCAUGUGAGACGUGCAGCCGUCCUGGCGUUGAGUACUGCUGCCCACAACAAGCCAAAUUUGAUCAAAGGUCUUCUUCCUGAAUUACUGCCUCUUUUGUAUGACCAGACUGUUGUGAAGCAAGAAUUGAUCAGGACAGUUGAUCUAGGGCCUUUCAAGCACGUCGUUGAUGAUGGGCUUGAACUUAGGAAAGCUGCCUUUGAAUGUGUGGACACAUUGCUGGAUAGUUGUCUUGAUCAAUUGAAUCCAUCGUCCUUCAUCGUUCCUUUCCUCUUAUCUGGCUUAGGUGAUCAUUAUGACGUAAAAAUGCCCUGCCAUCUAAUUCUCUCAAAGCUAGCAGACAAGUGUCCUUCUGCUGUUCUUGCAGUUUUGGACUCAUUAGUUGAACCUCUUGAGAAAACAAUCGUCCACAGACCCAAGGGUGAUGCAGUGAAGCAGGAGAUUGAUCGCAACGAAGACAUGAUCCGCAGUGCUCUUCGAGCAAUCGCUGCUCUAAGCCGCAUCAGUGGCAGCGACUACAGCAUGAAGUUCAAGAAUCUGAUGAACAAGAUAACGGCCACCCCUUCACUUGCCGACAAGUACAACUCGGUGCGCAGCGAAUGAGAGCUGCAAUUUUUUUUGUAUAUGUUAGGAAAUAGGUGAGUCAAGUGCCAGUUCCGAGGCGAUGAUCCAACCAAACCUCCCAUUACCGUGCCCUUUUUUGGCUGAAAGGUUGCGCUGCGAACAAAGGGGUGUUGAAUACCCUGCGUUGUUUUUCCUGUACAAAAUCUGGUGGUGAACCCUGGUCGGAGCAUUGUGAUUCUGUGUGCUCUGGAUGUAUUCGGAGAGUACUUUGGUAAGCAGCUUUGAGACUAGAAUUCGGCCCGUGGAACGUAGUCAUGAUUCACCGUCAGGACGAUCCGUUCACGUACCCGACGAACCCACGGCUCAGCGGUGCGUCGGCAGUUUGGCACCCAGCUAUACAGGGUGUACACCGUUUGAUGUCAGGACGAUGACACUUAGCAUGCAGAAUGGGUAGUGCAGCAUAUUGUAUUGGCUGCGGCUGUUGCUACCCUGCGGAGGCAAGGGCCGGCAACGAGGUGCCACUGAGUUAGGAUCCUGUGCAA